rnacentral:rRNA from 1 species
CAAUUUAUACCGCGAAACUGCGAUUGGCUCAUUUAAUUCAGUUUAUCGUUUAUUCGAUAUUUACCUUACUACUUUGGAUAACCGUGGUAAUUCUAGAGCUAAUACAUGCUAAAAACCCCGUCCAGGGGUGUGUUUAUUAGAUUAAAAACCAAUGCCCUCCGGGGCUCUCUGGUGAUUCAUGAUAACCUCUCGGACCGCAUGGCCUUGUGCCGGCGGUGGUUCAUUCAAAUUUCUGCCCUAUCAACUUUCGAUGGCUGGGUCUUGGCCAGCCAUGGUGACAACGGGUAACGGAGGGUUAGGGCUCGACCCCGGAGAGGGCGCCCGAGCAACGGCGACCACAUCCAAGGAAGGCAGCAGGCGCGCAAAAUUACCCAACCCCGACUCGGGGAGGUAGUGACAAAUAAAUACUGAUGCAGGGCGCUUACGUGUUUUUGCAAUUGGAAAUGAGUACAAUUUAAAAUCCCUUUAACGAAGGAACAAUUGGAGGGGCAAGUCUGGGUGCCAACCACCCGCCGGUAAAUUCCCAGCCUCCCAAUAGCGUAUAUUAAAAGUUGGUUGAGGGUUAAAAAAACCUCGUAUUUGAAACCUUUGGGCUUGGGCUGGGCCGGUCCCCCCUCCACCGUGUGCAAUUGGCCCCAACCCGGGAUCUUUCCCCUCCCGGGGGAAUUUUAUUGGCCCUUUACCCCCUCCGAGUUCGGGGAAAUCGGGGAAAUUUUCCCCCCCCCUUCUAAAUUUAUAUUGGGAUUUG